rnacentral:tRNA from 1 species
GGAGGAGUGGCUGAGCGGUUUAAGGCGCACGCUUGGAAAGCGUGUGAGGGUUCACACCCUCCGCGAGUUCGAAUCUCGCCUCCUCCGCCA